GACGAACGCUGGCGGCGUGCUUAACACAUGCAAGUCGAACGAAGAGCGAUGGAAGCUUGCUUCUAUCAAUCUUAGUGGCGAACGGGUGAGUAACGCGUAAUCAACCUGCCCUUCAGAGGGGGACAACAGUUGGAAACGACUGCUAAUACCGCAUACGAUCCAAUCUCGGCAUCGAGGAUGGAUGAAAGGUGGCCUCUAUUUAUAAGCUAUCACUGAAGGAGGGGAUUGCGUCUGAUUAGCUAGUUGGAGGGGUAACGGCCCACCAAGGCGAUGAUCAGUAGCCGGUCUGAGAGGAUGAACGGCCACAUUGGGACUGAGACACGGCCCAGACUCCUACGGGAGGCAGCAGUGGGGAAUCUUCCGCAAUAGACGAAAGUCUGACGGAGCAACGCCGCGUGAGUGAUGACGGCCUUUGGGUUGUAAAGCUCUGUUAAUCGGGACGAAAGGUCCUCUUGCGAAUAGUUAGAGGAAUUGACGGUACCGGAAUAGAAAGCCACGGCUAACUACGUG
rnacentral:rRNA from 1 species